rnacentral:rRNA from 1 species
CCAGUAACUUGCUCUUAUGAAGUUAGCGGCGGACGGGUGAGUAACACGUGGGUAACCUGCCCAUAAGACUGGGAUAACUCCGGGAAACCGGGGCUAAUACCGGAUAACAUUUUGAACCGCAUGGUUCGAAAUUGAAAGGCGGCUUCGGCUGUCACUUAUGGAUGGACCCGCGUCGCAUUAGCUAGUUGGUGAGGUAACG